UACGAGGGGGGCAAGCGUUGUUCGGAAUUAUUGGGCGUAAAGGGCGCGUAGGCGGCGCCGCAAGUCACUUGUGAAAACUCUGGGCUCAACUCAGAGCCUGCAAGGGAGACUGCGGUGCUGGAGUAUGGGAGAGGUGCGUGGAAUUCCCGGUGUAGCGGUGAAAUGCGUAGAUAUCGGGAGGAACAGCUGUGGCGAAGGCGGCGAACUGGACCAUAACUGACGCUGAGGCGCGAAAGCGAGGGGAGCAAACAGG
rnacentral:rRNA from 1 species